UACGAGGGGGGCGAGCGUUGUUCGGAAUUAUUGGGCGUAAAGGGCGCGUAGGCGGUGCGGUAAGUCACCUGUGAAACCUCUGGGCUCAACUCAGAGCCUGCAGGCGAAACUGCCGUGCUGGAGUGUGGGAGAGGUGCGUGGAAUUCCCGGUGUAGCAGUGAAAUGCGUAGAUAUCGGGAGGAACACCUGUGGCGAAAGCGGCGCACUGGACCACAACUGACGCUGAGGCGCGAAAGCUAGGGGAGCAAACAGG
rnacentral:rRNA from 1 species